UACGGAGGGUGCGAGCGUUGUCCGGAAUCACUGGGCGUAAAGGGCGCGUAGGCGGCUGGGGAAGUCGGCGGUGAAAGCCCGGAGCUCAACUCCGGGUCGGCCGUCGAGACUCCUCGGCUCGAGCUCACUAGAGGCAGAUGGAAUUCCGGGUGUAGCGGUGGAAUGCGUAGAGAUCCGGAAGAACACCGGUGGCGAAGGCGGUCUGCUGGGGUGAGGCUGACGCUGAGGAGCGAAAGCGUGGGGAGCGAACAGG
rnacentral:rRNA from 1 species